rnacentral:rRNA from 1 species
UACGGGGGGGGCAAGCGUUGUUCGGAAUUACUGGGCGUAAAGGGCUCGUAGGUGGCCAACUAAGUCAGACGUGAAAUCCCUCGGCUUAACCGGGGAACUGCGUCUGAUACUGGAUGGCUUGAGUUCGGGAGAGGGAUGCGGAAUUCCAGGUGUAGCGGUGAAAUGCGUAGAUAUCUGGAGGAACACCGGUGGCGAAGGCGGCUGCCUGGCCCAAUACUGACACUCAGGUGCGACAGCGUGGGGAGCAAACAGG